GGGCCUUUAGCUCAGUUGGUAGAGCGCUUCGUUUACACCGAAGAUGCCGGGGGUUCGAGUCCCUCAAGGCCCACCC
rnacentral:tRNA from 1 species